rnacentral:rRNA from 1 species
CCUGAACGCUGGCGGCGUGGCUAAGACAUGCAAGUCGCACGGGCGUAGCAAUACGCUAGUGGCGAACGGGUGAGUAAUGAAUCGCUAAUGUACCCCGGACUCCGGGAUAGCUAUCCGAAAGGGUAGGUAAUACCGGAUGACAUCACCGCACGGCAUCGUGUGGUGCUCAAGGGUCCGCCGGUCUGGGAGCAGGCGAUUUCGUAUCAGCUAGUUGGUGAGGUAACGGCNCACCAAGGCGACGACGCGUAGCCGGACUGAGAGGUUGGCCGGCCACAUCGGGACUGAGACACUGCCCGGACUCCUACGGGGGCUGCAGUAACGAAUCUUCCCCAAUGCACGCAAGUGUGAGGGAGCGACGCCGCGUGUGGGACGAAGUCC